UACCUGGUUGAUUCUGCCAGUAGUCAUAUGCUUGUCUCAAAGAUUAAGCCAUGCAUGUCUAAGUAUAAGCAAUUAUACCGCGAAACUGCGAAUGGCUCAUUAUAUAAGUUAUCGUUUAUUUGAUAGCACAUUACUACAUGGAUAACUGUGGUAAUUCUAGAGCUAAUACAUGCUAAAAAUCCCGACUUCGGAAGGGAUGUAUUUAUUAGAUUAAAAGCCAACGCCCUUCGGGGCUUCCUGGUGAUUCAUAAUAACUUUUCGAAUCGCAUGGCCUUGCGCCGGCG
rnacentral:rRNA from 1 species